GUGCCUAUGGUGUAACGGUUAGCACUGAAGUUUGUGGAACUUCCAGUCAGGGUUCAAAUCCCUGUAGGCACC
rnacentral:tRNA from 1 species